AAAAAAAAAGGUCCCUAGAUUAUGGCUUAUAAGUGCAGUGGCUUAAUGUGCAAUUCUGAGCACCCCCAGCACCAAUGAUGGAAACUACUUCAAUCCCAAGCAACAUCCAAGUUGUCUUAGUAGCAACGAGAGAAAUAUGUGAUUCUCAUUGGUCAAGAAAAUUUAUGGGCUGCACACAAAUCUUGGAGAAUCAUAUGUAUAUUGCAAACUGUGAAACAAAAAGGGGGGAAAAGACAAAUCAAAAAAGAAACAAAAUAGCCCAGGAGUUGAUUAUUUUGGUCAACGUAGAAAUGCUCUAUCUUAUUUUCGCUUCGGUUUUGAAAUGAAACCACGUAUACACAUAUGACAUACAUGUGAAAAACAAAUGAAACUUCUUGUUCAUCUUCUGAUUCUCCAAGCAGAAUAUUGCAGACCAAGAAACUCCAACAUAAAUGUGCAGGGCAUUCUCGUUCAAAGGCCCUGUUUUGGGAUGAGGUUGGGAGGCCAAGAGAGUGUUUUUCAGAAAAUCAUCAUUUGAUAUGAUAUUGAGAAAAGCUGUUUAGCUAUUUUUAUGACAAGAACAUGUCAAAUUUAACUUUAAACUAAUUUUUAAUACCAUAUAAUUAACAUAUAACAACUACAACAAUAAUGCAAACAGACCCUAUGCAAUGUCUAGAUGCUCCCCACCAGAAAAGUCGAUGUUUCAUAAUAUCGUAGACAAGGUUCAUGAACUAUAACAGAAUUGAGCUAAUUGAUUUGGUUUGGUAGCUAAGUAAUGUUAGCAGAAAUACCCUUGCACACACAUGCAUGCAGAUUAG
rnacentral:misc_RNA from 1 species